GGGUUGUGAGGUUAAGCGACUAAGCGUACACGGUGGAUGCCCUGGCAGUCAGAGGCGAUGAAGGACGUGCUAAUCUGCGAUAAGCGCCGGUAAGGUGAUAUGAACCGUUAUAACCGGCGAUUUCCGAAUGGGGAAACCCAGUGUGAUUCGUCACACUAUCAUUAACUGAAUCCAUAGGUUAAUGAGGCGAACCGGGGGAACUGAAACAUCUAAGUACCCCGAGGAAAAGAAAUCAACCGAGAUUCCCCCAGUAGCGGCGAGCGAACGGGGAGGAGCCCAGAGCCUGAAUCAGCAUGUGUGUUAGUGGAAGCGUCUGGAAAGGCGCGCGAUACAGGGUGACAGCCCCGUACACAAAAGCGCAUGUGCUGUGAGCUCGAUGAGUAGGGCGGGACACGUGGUAUCCUGUCUGAAUAUGGGGGGACCAUCCUCCAAGGCUAAAUACUCCUGACUGACCGAUAGUGAACCAGUACCGUGAGGGAAAGGCGAAAAGAACCCCGGCGAGGGGAGUGAAAAAGAACCUGAAACCGUGUACGUACAAGCAGUGGGAGCCCCACCACUAAGCCAGUGGUGAACUCCACAUCCGCAUCCUUUGCUGAGGAUACGGUUAACGGAGCGAAAGCGACGUUCAACCGCAAAACAAGCAGAGGGGGCUUAGUGGUGG
rnacentral:rRNA from 1 species